ACCCCCGGGCCACCCCGGGGAUUUGUCAAAACAGCCUUGACAAAAGGACACUAAUGCCCGUGGGUUGGGGCAAAAUUUUGUCACAAAUGCCCCUACCUCCGGGGCGAAAUUUGGAAAACAAUAAUUUCAAAUAUAACAAAUGGUUAUUUACAAAGAAAUUUGUAGUAAGUUAAUAUACUUAUUAACAUAAUUUUGGGCAUCUCGUUCAAUAAACAAUGAAGCGUAGGCCGUAAAGAAGAUAUUUUUGAACUAAAAAUUCAUACACAAUUUUAUAUCGGGACAUUUGUUAUUAAUACGUUUGCUAUUUUAACCUAUUUAAUAAAUCAGUAUCCGAUACAAAACGUUUAAAAAGUUUGUGUCCUUUAUAGUUUCAAACAAUUAUUCUGGUGUUUCCAACUUUUAUUGAGGAUAGAUGGCUAAUUAUUCAUUUAUAAAUAAAAGGAUUAAAUUACAUUCACCUACCAUCGAUUGCUACUAAGCGGAAACGCGUCAUGAGAAAACGCCUGCCUCGUACCCAGGCGGUAUGUUGUUCUAUUGCUCGCGUGGCCUUUGCGUGGGACGCGUGCCGUCCCACGUGUACAAACCAAAGCGCCUGGGUACGAGGCAGAGAAAACGCGAUCUAUAAAUUGGACAUAGCUUGCGUAGCCAGCGGUUUGCCUCGCCUCCCUAAUUUUCGUUGCCCGCGCCUCAACCCCAACCCUUAAAACUGCCGGCUACGCAGGCUAAUUGGACAUGAAACAUAACAUGUUUGGACUUCAAACUUUACAUGAUUUUGCUGGAAACAUUUGACGGUUUACAAUUAUUUUUUCUGCGAAAACGUAACAAAGUUAGUACAAACAUUGCAAAC